rnacentral:rRNA from 1 species
AGAGUUUGAUUCUGGCUCAGGAUGAACGCUAGCGGCGUGCCUAAUACAUGCAAGUCGAGCGAACAGACGAGGAGCUUGCUCCUCUGACGUUAGCGGCGGACGGGUGAGUAACACGUGGAUAACCUACCUAUAAGACUGGGAUAACUUCGGGAAACCGGAGCUAAUACCGAAUAAAAUAUUGAACCGCAUGGUUCAAUAGUGAAAGACGGUUUUGCUGUCACUUAUAGAUGGAUCCGCGCCGCAUUAGCUAGUUGGUAAGGUAACGGCUUACCAAGGCAACGAUGCGUAGCCGACCUGAGAGGGUGAUCGGCCACACUGGAACUGAGGCACGGUCCAGACUCCUACGGGAGGCAGCAGUAGGGAAUCUUCCGCAAUGGGCGAAAGCCUGACGGAGCAACGCCGCGUGAGUGAUGAAGGUCUUCGGAUCGUAAAACUCUGUUAUCAGGGAAGAACAAAUGUGUAAGUAACUAUGCACGUCUUGACGGUACCUAAUCAGAAAGCCACGGCUAACUACGUGCCAGCAGCCGCGGUAAUACGUAGGUGGCAAGCGUUAUCCGGAAUUAUUGGGCGUAAAGCGCGCGUAGGCGGUUUUUUAAGUCUGAUGUGAAAGCCCACGGCUCAACCGUGGAGGGUCAUUGGAAACUGGAAAACUUGAGUGCAGAAGAGGAAAGUGGAAUUCCAUGUGUAGCGGUGAAAUGCGCAGAGAUAUGGAGGAACACCAGUGGCGAAGGCGACUUUCUGGUCUGUAACUGACGCUGAUGUGCGAAAGCGUGGGGAUCAAACAGGAUUAGAUACCCUGGUAGUCCACGCCGUAAACGAUGAGUGCUAAGUGUUAGGGGGUUUCCGCCCCUUAGUGCUGCAGCUAACGCAUUAAGCACUCCGCCUGGGGAGUACGACCGCANGGUUGAACUCAAAUGAUUUGACGGGGA